UACGUAGGGUGCAAACGUUGUUCGGAAUUACUGGGCGUAAAGCGCGUGUAGGCGGCAGCGUAAGUCGGGCGUGAAAUCCCACGGCUCAACCGUGGAAGUGCACUCGAAACUGCGCAGCUAGAGUCCUGGAGAGGAAGGUGGAAUGCUUGGUGUAGAGGUGAAAUUCGUAGAUAUCAAGCGGAACACCGGUGGCGAAGGCGGCCUUCUGGACAGUGACUGACGCUGAGACGCGAAAGCGUGGGGAGGCAAACAGG
rnacentral:rRNA from 1 species